AGAGUCUCGUGCAGGAGAUCCAGACCACGGGACGUACGCUGUGGUCCAGGAGAAGCAGAAGAAAAAGAAGAAGAAAGAGUCUCGUGCAGGAGAUCCAGACCACGGGACGUACGCUGUGGUCCAGAAGAAGCAGAAGAAGAAAGAGUCUCGUGCAGGAGAUCAGGACCACGGGACGUACGCUGUGGUCCAGAAGAAGCAGAAGAACAAAUCAAAUCUUCCAGCCUAGAGCGAACCACGGCGGCCAGAAGAAGACGUCGUCUGCUCUUCCGUGAGAAUAUCUGAGACAUGAAAUUCAGAAGCCAAAUGCUUCUUUGGCGUCCUGAUGAUCAACCGUUUGGUUCAAGACCAAAUACCUGCAAAACGAGGACAUUCCCAUCUGUCCCAGCUGUUCUUGCUCUGUGCUCUUUAGCAAACAUUAGCAUGCUAAGCUAAAGCUUAAGAUGUCAUACUGAUUGAUUGGGUCAAAGGGUGACCUGUAAGGUCGUAAAGCAUCAGGUGUUCCUCUCACAGAUGUGCUGAUGUUUUGUGUUCUGAGGGUUCUUCUCUCCUCAGAACCGCUCUUUGAA
ensembl:lncRNA